rnacentral:rRNA from 1 species
GGUGAGUAACACGUGGGUAACCUGCCCUAUAGACUGGGAUAANUCGCGGAAACGCGUGCUAAUACCGGAUAACACAUCAAAGUGCAUGCUUUGAUGUUGAAAGAUGGUUCUGCUAUCACUAUAGGAUGGGCCCGCGGCGCAUUAGCUUGUUGGUGGGGUAACGGCCUACCAAGGCGACGAUGCGUAGCCGACCUGAGAGGGUGAUCGGCCACACUGGGACUGAGACACGGCCCAGACUCCUACGGGAGGCAGCAGUAGGGAAUCUUCCACAAUGGGCGAAAGCCUGAUGGAGCAACGCCGCGUGAGCGAAGAAGGUCUUCGGAUCGUAAAGCUCUGUUGUAAGGGAAGAACAAGUGCAGUAGUAACUGGCUGCACCUUGACGGUACCUUACUAGAAAGCCACGGCUAACUACGUGCCAGCAGCCGCGGUAAUACGUAGGUGGCAAGCGUUGUCCGGAAUUAUUGGGCGUAAAGCGCGCGCAGGCGGUUUCUUAAGUCUGAUGUGAAAGCCUCCGGCUUAACCGGGGAGGGUCAUUGGAAACUGGGAGACUUGAGUGCAGGAGAGGGAAGCGGAAUUCCAUGUGUAGCGGUGAAAUGCGUAGAGAUAUGGAGGAACACCAGUGGNNAAGGCGGCUUCCUGGCCUGUAACUGACGCUGANGCGCGAAAGCGUGGGGAGCAAACAGGAUUAGAUACCCCUGGUAGUCCACGCC